GCAGUCGUGGCCUACUGGUUAGGGCUUCGGGCUUGUAACCGGGAGGCUGCCGGUUUGAUCCCUGACCAGUAGGA
rnacentral:tRNA from 1 species